CGAACGGGUGAGUAACGCGUGAGGAACCUGCCUCAAAGAGGGGGACAACAGUUGGAAACGACUGCUAAUACCGCAUAAGCCCACGGCUCGGCAUCGAGCAGAGGGAAAAGGAGUGAUCCACUUUGAGAUGGCCUCGCGUCCGAUUAGCUAGUUGGUGAGGUAACGGCCCACCAAGGCGACGAUCGGUAGCCGACCUGAGAGGGUGACCGGCCACAUUGGGACUGAGACACGGCCCAA
rnacentral:rRNA from 1 species